rnacentral:rRNA from 1 species
ACGAACGCUGGCGGCGUGCCUAACACAUGCAAGUCGAGCGGAGACAGUGAGUAGCUUGCUAUGAGCUGUUUUAGCGGCGGACGGGUGAGUAACGCGUGAGCAACCUUUCCCAGACAGGGGAAUAACACACCGAAAGGUGUACUAAUACCGCAUAAGACCACGGAAUCACAUGGUUCUGAGGUAAAAGAUUUAUCGGUUUGGGGUGGGCUCGCGUCCGAUUAGGUAGUUGGUGAGGUAACGGCCCACCAAGCCGACGAUCGGUAGCCGACCUGAGAGGGUGAUCGGCCACAUUGGGACUGAGACACGGCCCAAACUCCUACGGGAGGCAGCAGUGGGGAAUAUUGGGCAAUGGGGGGAACCCUGACCCAGCAACGCCGCGUGGAGGAAGAAGGUUUUCGGAUCGUAAACUCCUGUCCUUGGAGACGAGUAGAAGACGGUAUCCAAGGAGGAAGCCCCGGCUAACUACGUGCCAGCAGCCGCGGUAAUACGUAGGGGGCAAGCGUUGUCCGGAAUAAUUGGGCGUAAAGGGCGCGUAGGCGGCUCGGUAAGUCUGGAGUGAAAGUCCUGCUUUUAAGGUGGGAAUUGCUUUGGAUACUGUCGGGCUUGAGUGCAGGAGAGGUUAGUGGAAUUCCCAGUGUAGCGGUGAAAUGCGUAGAGAUUGGGAGGAACACCAGUGGCGAAGGCGACUAACUGGACUGUAACUGACGCUGAGGCGCGAAAGUGUGGGGAGCAAACAGGAUUAGAUACCCUGGUAGUCCACACUGUAAACGAUGAAUGCUAGGUGUAGGGGGUAUCGACCCCUUCUGUGCCGCAGUCAACACAAUAAGCAUUCCGCCUGGGGAGUACGGCCGCAAGGUUGAAACUCAAAGGAAUUGACGGGGGCCCGCACAAGCAGCGGAGCAUGUGGUUUAAUUCGACGCAACGCGAAGAACCUUACCAAGUCUUGACAUCCCUUGACGAACAUAGAAAUAUGUUUUCUCUUCGGAGCAAGGAGACAGGUGGUGCAUGGUUGUCGUCAGCUCGUGUCGUGAGAUGUUGGGUUAAGUCCCGCAACGAGCGCAACCCUUAUUGUUAGUUGCCAUCAUUUAGUUGGGCACUCUAGCAAGACUGCCGGUGACAAACCGGAGGAAGGUGGGGAUGACGUCAAAUCAUCAUGCCCCUUAUGACCUGGGCUACACACGUGCUACAAUGGCCACGACAGAGAGAAGCGAAAUCGCAAGGUAGAGCGGAACUCAAAAAAGUGGUCCCAGUUCGGAUUGUGGGCUGCAACCCGCCCACAUGAAGUCGGAGUUGCUAGUAAUCGCGGAUCAGCAUGCCGCGGUGAAUACGUUCCCGGGCCUUGUACACACCGCCCGUCACACCAUGGGAGUUGGGAGUGCCCAAAGCCGGUGAGGCAACCGCAAGGAGCCAGCCGUCUAAGGCAAGACCAAUGACUGGGGUG